rnacentral:lncRNA from 1 species
GGGUAUCUGUCAGAAGACACAUGGACUCUUAUUAAAUCAUGUUUCUCAACACACAUGUUGUCUUAUCUGAUUCAUUUCUUCCAUCUUUCUCUCUUCUCUGAAUCUCAAUUACAAUGAACAAUGAUGCUGAUACAGUACAUCUUUGUUCAUCUAGUUUUUGAUUUUCUCUUUUAUUUUUCUCUCUUUUUUCCUUCUUUUUUUCUUGACAAAGUGUAGGCGAAUAAUGGGGUCAC